rnacentral:rRNA from 1 species
GAACUCCGAUUGCGAAGGCAGCGUACCGGCGCCACACUGACGCUGAGGCACGAAAGCGUGGGGAUCGAACAGGAUUAGAUACCCUGGUAGUCCACGCAGUAAACGAUGAAUGCUGGUUGUCCGGGUCGAAUGAGACCUGGGCGGCGAAGCGAAAGCGAUAAGCAUUCCACCUGGGGAGUACGCCGGCAACGGUGAAACUCAAAGGAAUUGACGGGGGCCCGCACAAGCGGAGGAACAUGUGGUUUAAUUCGAUGAUACGCGAGGAACCUUACCCGGGCUCAAACGGGAGCGGAAUGGACCAGAGACGGUUCAGCCUACGGGCCGCUUCCGAGGUGCUGCAUGGUUGUCGUCAGCUCGUGCCGUGAGGUGUCGGCUUAAGUGCCAUAACGAGCGCAACCCCCGCCGGCAGUUGCUAACGGGCAAUGCCGAGGACUCUGCCGGGACUGCCGCCGCAAGGCGAGAGGAAGGCGGGGAUGACGUCAAAUCAGCACGGCCCUUACGUCCGGGGCGACACACGUGUUACAAUGGGCGGUACAGCGGGAAGCCAGGCGGCGACGCCGAGCGGAACCCGAAAGCCGUUCUCAGUUCGGAUCGGAGUCUGCAACCCGACUCCGUGAAGCUGGAUUCGCUAGUAAUCGCGCAUCAGCCAUGGCGCGGUGAAUACGUUCCCGGGCCUUGUACACACCGCCCGUCAAGCCAUGGGAGCCGGGGGUGCUUGAAGUGCGUCGCCGCGAGGCGCGCCCUAGAGCAAAACCGGUGACUGGGGCUAAGUCGUAACAAGGUAACCGUAA